UGGGGAAUAUUGGGCAAUGGGCGAAAGCCUGACCCAGCAACGCCGCGUGAAGGAAGAAGGCCCUCGGGUUGUAAACUUCUUUUGUCAGGGACGAAGCAAGUGACGGUACCUGACGAAUAAGCCACGGCUAACUACGUGCCAGCAGCCGCGGUAAUACGUAGGUGGCAAGCGUUAUCCGGAUUUACUGGGUGUAAAGGGCGUGUAGGCGGGAGUGCAAGUCAGAUGUGAAAACUAUGGGCUCAACCCAUAGCCUGCAUUUGAAACUGUACUUCUUGAGUGAUGGAGAGGCAGGCGGAAUUCCCUGUGUAGCGGUGAAAUGCGUAGAUAUAGGGAGGAACACCAGUGGCGAAGGCGGCCUGCUGGACAUUAACUGACGCUGAGGCGCGAAAGCGUGGGGAGCAAAACAGGAUUAGAUACCC
rnacentral:rRNA from 1 species